AUUUAAAUAGUUUAAUGAAAACUUUGAUUUGUGAGGUCAAGAAUAUAUUUUAUAUUUUAAAUA
rnacentral:tRNA from 1 species